rnacentral:rRNA from 1 species
AUGCAUCCAGCCCAGCUAGAACGCUAUGUAUAUGACAUCUCUUGGUCAUUGCCUACAGGUCAGAAGCUCUUACUACUUGUUGCCGCCACCCUAGUCCUACAUCAUAGUACUACCGCUUAUGGAGCUGCGUCCUCUGGGAGCAUCAGCAUGGCACGGCCUGGCUGCCCAGAUAAGUGUGGCAACAUCAGCAUCCCGUACCCGUUUGGCACCGGAAAAGGCUGCUUCCAAGAACCCUUUAAUGUCACGUGCAAUGGGACCGGGGCAUAUCUGGGCUCAAACGGACUUAGGGUACUGGACAUCUCUCUUGCCUUGGGUGAGGUUCGUGUUCAGAAUCCACAUAUAACAUCACGAUGCAACUUCAGCAAUGGCAGCAACAGCACCAGUGGUUUGGACGUCUUAACUCUUGAUCCAUUUCAUACGGUUUCCAACAUGAAGAACAAGUUGACAUCAAUCGGCUGUGGUGGACUUGCAAUGCUUGUGGGACAAGCCAAGGGCAAGAACCAGCUUGAGUACCUCACAGCUGACUCAUGCAUUUCAUCCUGCAUGGACGUAAGCAGCAUCGGUAAUGGCACAGAGUGCUCUGGCAUGGGUUGCUGCCAGGCCCCUGUUUCAGGAAACAUCAACGCCUUCCUCGCCCAAUCCAUACCAGUAUCAGCUAUAUACAACUCUACCAUUCAGUCUUUCAGCCCAUGCACCUACUCAUUCGUUGCUGAGGAUGAUUGGUUCAAGUUUGAUCGUUCUUAUAUCAACUCUACAAAUUUUGGACGUAAAUAUACAGAUGGUGUUCCUUUGGUACUGGAUUGGGUUGUUGGUAAUGGAAGUUGUUCUGAAACCAGCAAGAUGGGAUCACAGUAUGCCUGCCAAGCCAUGAACAGCGAGUGCAUUGAUGUGUCCAAUGGCCCCGGUUACCGUUGCAACUGCUCUCAAGGUUAUGAAGGCAAUCCCUACUUACAAGGAGGGUGCAAAGACAUCAAUGAGUGUGAACCUCCAAACCAGUCCUUGUAUCCUUGCAAAGGUAAUUGCAGAAACACCGUUGGGAGCUACACCUGUUCAUGCUCAUCAGGAUUUAGGAGCGAUGAUCCAAAGAGCAUACCCUGCGUUCAAGCUGACCCAAACAAAGCUCUGAAGGUGGCCUUAGGCACAUCCGCCGGUGUCGUCUUCCUCAUGGUUUGCAUGUUCGCUCUACGGGCUGAGCAUCAGAAAAGGAAGCUGGCUAAAGAGAAGGAAAGAUUCUUUGAUCAGAAUGGUGGUCAGAUAUUAUACCAUCAAAUUAUUUCAAAACAGGUCGAUUCAUUGAUGAUAUUCACACAGGAAGAUCUAAAGAAGGCUACGAAUGAUUUUGACGAGAGCAGAGAAGUGGGCAGGGGUGGUCACGGCACUGUGUACAAGGGUGUUCUUAAGGAUGGAAGAGUAAUAGCCGUGAAGCGCUCCAAGAUCAUGAAUGUGGCCGAAACUAAUGAAUUUGUUCAGGAGAUUAUCAUACUUUCACAGACCAACCACCGGAAUGUGGUCAGGCUUCUAGGGUGCUGCUUAGAGGUGGAAGUCCCCAUACUAGUCUACGAAUUCAUCCCGAAUGGCACUCUUUUUGAGUUCAUCCAUCGUAACCGUGGGACUCCACCUCCCUCUCUGGACACUCGGCUCAGGGUCGCUCAAGAAUGAGGUUCAGUUCAUGACAUUGGUGCAGGGGACCCUGGGUUACCUGGAUCCCGAGUACCUGCAGGAGCGGCAGCUCACGGAGAAGAGCGACGUUUACAGCUUCGGCAUUGUGCUGCUGGAGCUGAUCACGGGGAAGACGGCGAUCUACCACGACGGCCCCAAGGAAGGCAAGAGCCUCGCGUCAUCCUUCCUGCUCGCGAUGAAGGAGGAGAGCCUCGAUGGUAUCCUGGACGCGAGCAUACUAAGCGCCGGGAUGGAGACGCUGCUGAGAGAAGUCGCCGAGCUUGCGAGGAUGUGCUUGAGCACCAGGGGGGAAGAGAGGCCUUCCAUGAUCCAGGUGGCCGACAAGCUGAAGGCUCUGCGGAGCACCUGGAGGGAGAAAUUGCUGCUGACGGACGGUGA